GUUUGAUCAUGGCUCAGAUUGAACGCUGGCGGCAGGCCUAACACAUGCAAGUCGAACGGUAACAGGAAGCAGCUUGCUGCUUCGCUGACGAGUGGCGGACGGGUGAGUAAUGUCUGGGAAGCUGCCUGAUGGAGGGGGAUAACUACUGGAAACGGUAGCUAAUACCGCAUAAUGUCGCAAGACCAAAGAGGGGGACCUUCGGGCCUCUUGCCAUCGGAUGUGCCCGGAUGGGAUUAGCUUGUUGGUGGGGUAACGGCUCACCAAGGCGACGAUCCCUAGCUGGUCUGAGAGGAUGACCAGCCACACUGGAACUGAGACACGGUCCAGACUCCUACGGGAGGCAGCAGUGGGGAAUAUUGCACAAUGGGCGCAAGCCUGAUGCAGCCAUGCCGCGUGUAUGAAGAAGGCCUUCGGGUUGUAAAGUACUUUCAGCGGGGAGGAAGGGAGUAAAGUUAAUACCUUUGCUCAUUGACGUUACCCGCAGAAGAAGCACCGGCUAACUCCGUGCCAGCAGCCGCGGUAAUACGGAGGGUGCAAGCGUUAAUCGGAAUUACUGGGCGUAAAGCGCACGCAGGCGGUUUGUUAAGUCAGAUGUGAAAUCCCCGGGCUCAACCUGGGAACUGCAUCUGAUACUGGCAAGCUUGAGUCUCGUAGAGGGGGGUAGAAUUCCAGGUGUAGCGGUGAAAUGCGUAGAGAUCUGGAGGAAUACCGGUGGCGAAGGCGGCCCCCUGGACGAAGACUGACGCUCAGGUGCGAAAGCGGUGGAGCAUGUGGUUUAAUUCGAUGCAACGCGAAGAACCUUACCUGGUCUUGACAUCCACGGAAGUUUUCAGAGAUGAGAAUGUGCCUUCGGGAACCGUGAGACAGGUGCUGCAUGGCUGUCGUCAGCUCGUGUUGUGAAAUGUUGGGUUAAGUCCCGCAACGAGCGCAACCCUUAUCCUUUGUUGCCAGCGGUCCGGCCGGGAACUCAAAGGAGACUGCCAGUGAUAAACUGGAGGAAGGUGGGGAUGACGUCAAGUCAUCGUGGCCCUUACGACCAGGGCUACACACGUGCUACAAUGGCGCAUACAAAGAGAAGCGACCUCGCGAGAGCAAGCGGACCUCAUAAAGUGCGUCGUAGUCCGGAUUGGAGUCUGCAACUCGACUCCAUGAAGUCGGAAUCGCUAGUAAUCGUGGAUCAGAAUGCCACGGUGAAUACGUUCCCGGGCCUUGUACACACCGCCCGUCACACCAUGGGAGUGGGUUGCAAAAGGAGUAGGUAGCUUAACCUUCGGGAGGGCGCUUACCACUUUGUGAUUCAUGACUGGGGUGAAGUCGUAACAAGGUAACCGUAGGGGAACCUGCGGUUG
rnacentral:rRNA from 1 species